AUGGGCUCGAGCGGAGCCGACUCGGCGGAGGAGGCCGUCCGUCUCCUCCUGCACGAGGCGCAGAGGCUGCGCUACAGGAUCCAGUCCCUGGCAUCCGUCCUCAGGGAAUCCAACUCCGGCGUCCCCGUCGUCUCCCCGGACAAGGCCAAGACGCUGCUCCUCGUGUCGCGCGCACUCGCCAGCAUCUCCGGGGACAUAGCCAGCAAGCAUGGAUCGCCAAAUCCACGCAAAUCUGCUACCGAGGAGGACCAAGUUUCUUCCUACAAAGAGCACCGCGCCGGCUGGAAAUCUACGUGGGGCGGCCCCAUUGGAAACACCGGUGGCUUCCAUGAUAUAACUACACUGAGUCCUAUGCACUUCACGCGCCGGGUGCCUGUUAACAUCCCCGACUACUUUUACGUCACCCCAGCUUUGCAGAUCUACUCCUUCAAAAUUUUUAGACUAAAUGAAAACUUGAACUGGCCGCUCCACGUGUACGGUGUGGUCGCUGCUCGAGACGAUGUAGACAGUAACCGCAACCUUCUCUUCUGCCGGUCGAGGGCUAAUUACCAAGUACUCACUGAAAAGGAUCCUUUUCUGCGCUUGACCGGCCCUUCCUGUGCAAUUCAAGCUAAGGCACCUGUUGACUUUGAAGUCGAACUGAAGAUAAAAUAUGGAACCGAGUCCCAAGAUAUAGCAUUCUUCUGUUCUACCAACCAUCACCAUAUGCACCAUCAUACCGCUUGGUUCCCCGGUUCCUCUUGUGAUGGAGAGCUAAGCCUUCAAACAAUUGGUAGAGCGGUUCAGGCCACUGUCCUGGGUGUUUGCGUACUUGAAGGUGGGCCGCCUUUUGAAUAUGGAUGUCGAGUCGCUUGCUCCCUAUCAUCUGCAGAGCUUAUUGAGGAUCUCCCGUCGAACCAAGUUGUGUUGCUUGAUUGUCACGGUGAACAAAUUCCUGUAGAAUCAGAUGGUUAUCUUACUCUAUCAAGGAAUGUUGUCACCGCAGAAUUACAAGGAACACUAAAAGUUGUCAUCCAAGCAUACGCGGAAUCUGGUGCUAUUGCUGGACAGGGGGAUGUCGAUUUCCCUUCCCAACAUUGCCAGAUGAGUAGGGGUGUGUGUUUUGUUGGCAACUCUAAGGUGGAGAUUGUUGUUGCUUGGUCUCUUCUUGUCGAGGAUAAGCUGGAUAUCUUGUAG
rnacentral:rRNA from 1 species